AUCAGAAUGCCCUGGUCUUCAUCCUGUCAUUCAUACCUGAGAAAUGGACUUCAAGCCUCCCAUGCAAGUUUUGCAAAUGUGUUUAAUAACGGGUGCAGCUAAGAAGAGGAAAACUGUGCCUUUGCCAUCCUAAGACAAAGGGGUCUUAGGAUCCUUGCAAUGUUCAGGAAGAGGUUAGAACAAUCUAUUAAGGAAAAGGGACCAGGGCUCAGGAGGAGAGGAGGAUCUGUCCCCAGCAUACCCGACGCGGCCAUCAUGGCCAUUACAGGGGCCUUGUCGGCAUCUCAUGGCCAUCUCCUUAACAACCCUAUAGACUGAAUCCUGACAUUGAGCCCAUCAGAGGUAAGUUGGCUCCGAGAGGUGAGGUGACUUCUCCAGAUUGCCUCAGUUAGCAAGACUGAGACUCAAUCACACAUCUUAGCGAAGCCAAAGUCUGUGAUUUUACCUGCUAAAAAAUACUGCUCUACUUCACCAAAUCCAUGGUCAAUAAUAGACUGUUACCUUGGAAGCACUCCGUAACAAACUUUGGAAACUCUGAGUUUCCCCCUUCGCUGAAACUCACCUCCAAUCCCAGGUUGCAAACAAGCAAACACACCUGCUCCACGUUCCUGCCUGUGCAGCUUUCACCACAAGUGUGGAGCUGAAUAUGUGGAGCAGUGGAGUUUGAAGGCCAGUACAGUGGUGAAACAUUACAUGGUUGAAACAAAGUUCCAAAAGGUGCUCACCGUCUGAGCUUUGGAAAUAUAACUUCAUGGGAAUGAUUUCCUUUAAGAAGCUCUGUGCAUAAGUGUUACAGUUUAUGGGAGGCCGCUGUUUUGGAUGAGCCCCUGCACAAGGCCCCAGCAUCUCAGAACAAACCAGGAUGGCCUCACUCAUGUUCCACAUAAUCCAACUGAACUUUGAAACAGGCCAGUUUUCAAAAAUCCCCAAGAGGUUCUAGUUUAUCUGAGUUAAUGUAACAAUGAAGUCCCCUGUGUUUUAACGCUAUGAGGAAAGUAACUGAAAUGACCAGUCCACUCUUUGCUCCCUGUUUCUGCUUUCUUCAGCCCUUUUGUGCCUAGGAAGCCAACCUCAUCAGCUCAUUUCAUCUGAACACUUACUCUGUUUUACAGAAUGAGGAGCUUCUCAAUUCUAGAAUUGCAAAUAAAAGCCAAUUAAUCUUUAAACUAAAUUGGUGGUAACUGUAUUUUGACAUAACCAUGAAGAGAAGCUGAAAUUAUGUGAAGCCUCUCACUAGUUGUGACUAGUUGUCUCUUGUCCCACACCAGGCAGUUGUAC
rnacentral:lncRNA from 1 species